GGGCCCGCACAAGCGGAGGAGCAUGUGGUUUAAUUCGAUGAUACGCGAGGAACCUUACCUGGGCUUAAAUGUCAUGCGACCAUUUCUGAAAAGAGAUUUCUCUUCGGAGCGAAUGGCAAGGUGCUGCAUGGCUGUCGUCAGCUCGUGCCGUGAGUGUUGGGUUAAGUCCCGCAACGAGCGCAACCCCUAUCUUUAGUUGCCAUCAGGUUAUGCUGGGGACUCUAGAGAAACUGCCUACGUAAGUAGUGAGGAAGGCGGGGACGACGUCAAGUCAUCAUGGCCCUUACGCCCAGGGCUACACACGUGCUACAAUGGUAAGUACAACGAGUCGCAAUACCGCGAGGUGGAG
rnacentral:rRNA from 1 species